rnacentral:sRNA from 1 species
CCCACCACUCUGAAUGUAUCGCACACUAAGAAUUUAGAUGCUCGGCGUUGAGGCCGUAGCGUUGUUCUUUAAUAAUUUGUGAUGUAGCGAGCGUUUGAGAACACACUUCUCGACGUGUCGUUGUGGCUAAGGCGGGGACCUCGAGUCCCUAGAAAUUGAGUCGUUAUAGUUCGCGUCCAGGCUUUGUACCCCUGGACUGAAUAUGACCUUGAGGCAACUUGAGGUUAUAUGGUCAAGCGAAUAAGCGCACACGGUGGAUGCCUUGGCGGUCAGAGGCGAUGAAGGACGUGGCAGCCUGCGAAAAGUGUCGGGGAGCUGGCAACAAGCUUUGAUCCGGCAAUGUCCGAAUGGGGAAACCCACUGCUUCGGCAGUAUCCUGCAGUGAAUACAUAGCUGCUGGAAGCGAACCCGGUGAACUGAAAUAUCUAAGUAACCGGAGGAAAAGAAAUCAACCGAGAUUCCCUAAGUAGUGACGAGCGAACGGGGACUAGCCCUUAAGCUGGUAUGGUUUUAGAAAAACAACCUGGAAAGGUUGGCCAUAGAAGGUGAUAGCCCUGUAUUUGAAAGGGCCAUACCAGUGAAGACGAGUAGGGCGGGGCACGUGAAACCCUGUCUGAACAUGGGGGGACCAUCCUCCAAGGCUAAAUACUCCUGACCGACCGAUAGUGAACCAGUACC